CUCCACAGUUGUGGCUGGUAUGGGAGCAAAGACCUCGCUGGGAGCUGAAGAAGAGAGGCCAGAGGGAGGCUAGGCCAGGGCUGGGUCUCCCCAGGCCCACUGAGCCUCUACUUCCCUGGUCCAAGCCCUGCCCACCCUCACUGGGACAAGCUGAGGGUCCCUGCUCUCUCGGAUACAGCGUGCCUGGCUCUCCAUGCCCAGGCCUCCGGCCUUCAGGAUCAAGGGAUUUGUCUGUCUCCAUCCAAGGCUGAGAAUUUCCUGAGAUUCUCAUCCACAGAAGAGGGAGCAAGAACCAGGCUUCCCCAGCUAGAGGAGGAGGAAGAGGAGGAAGAGCAGGAGGGGGAUGCGGAAGAGAGAGGAAGGAAGGAAGAGAAGGAAAUACCCCAAAUUUCUUUAUCUGUUUCCAUUUUACAUAACUCACAGAUGUUGCUGCCGUUUCACGGCCCUCUGGACACAGGAUGUUUUUUCGGUCCUUCAGAACAUGGGACUGAGAGUGGCAGUAUUUGCUUUCUUCAUCAAUGUACAUACAAUUGAGUUUUUCUUAUCUUCAUACAAUGGUUCCCAUGCUCUUUGAACCCUUUUCAAAGACUGCUAUUCAUUAUAACCCCUACGUUUUAUGUUAGCUUAAAAUAAGACUCACUAGCAUUUCACCAAGGAAGAAUUUAUGACGGAAGCCCUAAAUCAACCUGCUUUUUA
rnacentral:lncRNA from 1 species